rfam:Myotis brandtii contig313947, whole genome shotgun sequence.
GGCUGAUUCUUGAGUGACGUAUCCCGGAAUCGGGCUCCCUCCUCUCUGGUUCCAGGUCUGUCACCCAAGAACCGCA